rnacentral:rRNA from 1 species
GUCGAGCGGCAGCGCGGGGGCAACCCUGGCGGCGAGCGGCGUACGGGUGAGUAAUACAUCGGAACAUGUCCUGUCGUGGGGGAUAGCUCGGCGAAAGCCGGAUUAAUACCGCAUACGAUCUACGGAUGAAAGUGGGGGAUCGCAAGACCUCACGCGAUUGGAGUGGCCGAUGUCGGAUUAGCUAGUUGGUGGGGUAAAGGCUUACCAAGGCGACGAUCCGUAGCUGGUCUGAGAGGAUGAUCAGCCACACUGGAACUGAGACACGGUCCAGACUCCUACGGGAGGCAGCAGUGGGGAAUUUUGGACAAUGGGGGCAACCCUGAUCCAGCCAUGCCGCGUGAGUGAAGAAGGCCUUCGGGUUGUAAAGCUCUUUCGGACGGAAAGAAACGGUGCGGGCUAAUACCCCGUUACUAAUGACGGUACCGUAAGAAGAAGCACCGGCCAACUACGUGCCAGCAGCCGCGGUAAUACGUAGGGUGCAAGCGUUAAUCGGAAUUACUGGGCGUAAAGCGUGCGCAGGCGGCGGCUUGUGUCAGGUGUGAAAGCCCCGGGCUUAACCUGGGAAUUGCGCUUGAAACUAGGUCGCUAGAGUUCAUUAGAGGGGGGUGGAAUUCCAGGUGUAGCAGUGAAAUGCGUAGAGAUCUGGAGGAACACCGAUGGCGAAGGCAGCCCCCUGGGGUGAAACUGACGCUCAGGCACGAAAGCGUGGGGAGCAAACAGGA